CGCCUUGCCAGCCCGCUCAGAAACUUAAAGGAAGUUGACGGGGCCCGGCACAAGCGGUGGAGCAUGUGGUUUAAUUCGAUGAUACGCGAGGAACUUACCUGGGCUCAAAUGUAUGUUGACGUAUUCUGAAAGGGAUACUUCUUCGGACAAUAUACAAGGUGCUGCAUGGUUGUCGUCAGCUCGUGCCGUGAGGUGUCGGGUUAAGUCCCAUAACGAGCGCAACCCCUAUCAUUAGUUGCCAUCAGGUCAAGCUGGGGACUCUAAUGAAACUGCCUACGCAAGUAGUGAGGAAGGUGGGGAUGACGUCAAAUCAGCACGGCCCUUACGUCCAGGGCUACACACGUGCUACAAUGGCCGGUACAAAGGGCAGCUACCUGGUGACAGGAUGCUAAUCUCAAAAGCCGGUCUCAGUUCGGAUCGGAGUCUGCAACUCGACUGCGUGAAGUCGGAAUCGCUAGUAAUCGUGAAUCAGAAUGUCACGGUGAAUACGUUCCCGGGCCUU
rnacentral:rRNA from 1 species